GUGAGGAAUAUUGGUCAAUGGACGAGAGUCUGAACCAGCCAAGUCGCGUGAAGGAAGACGGUUCUAUGAAUUGUAAACUUCUUUUGUGCAGGAAUAAAGUGGGUUACGUGUAACCUUUUGUAUGUACUGUACGAAUAAGGAUCGGCUAACUCCGUGCCAGCAGCCGCGGUAAUACGGAGGAUCCGAGCGUUAUCCGGAUUUAUUGGGUUUAAAGGGUGCGUAGGUGGAUUGAUGAGUCAGCGGUGAAAGUUUGCAGCUUAACUGUAAAAUUGCCGUUGAAACUGUCGGUCUUGAGUGCAAAUGAGGUAGGCGGAAUGUGUUGUGUAGCGGUGAAAUGCUUAGAUAUAACACAGAACUCCGAUUGCGAAGGCAGCUUACUGGGAUGCAACUGACACUGAUGCACGAAAGCGUGGGUAUCAAACAGGAUUAGAAACCCUGGUAGUCC
rnacentral:rRNA from 1 species